ACAAGUGAACUAUAUAUGGCCAGGGAAAUCUCCAGCAGUCCCAGUAUUUUUAAACUCUUGUAGUCUCCUGUUUGCACACUCAUGUGACGUAGAGGAACUAGAUCCAGAGAGUUUCUCAUGGGAAUCCGGGAUGCUUCGGCAUAACUGCUGGCUUUGGUUGCAUGUGUUUUUGCCCCUUGUUAAAGCAGUCCUUGGGGUUUCAUUUCACAUCCAAAAGACCUGGGAAGCAGCAGAUUCUGCAACCAAGUCAUGAAGCAUUUUAUUUCAGAAAAGAAGGGAUAAGAGAAAAGCCAUGGAGACAGGGCCUCUUUCUGCCCCCCAGUCUGGAGGGCAGUGGAGCAAACUCUUGGGUUCAAGCCAUCCUCCUGCCUCAGCUUCCUGAGUAGCUGGGAUUACAGGAAUGUGCCAUAGUACCUGGCAUAUUCUCUUUUUUUUUAAAAGUUGAGAGGUAUUUUUUACAGGUUUGGUGUGGUAACUGUUUGUGUUAACCCAUUUUGUACUGCUGUAACAGAAUAGAACAGACUGAGUAAUUUAUAAUGAACAAAAAUGUAUUGGCUCAUGGUUCUGGAGGCUGGGAAGUACAAGGUUGAGGGGCUGGCACCUUGCAAGGGCCUUCUUGCUACAUCAUCCUAGGGAGGAAGGGCAAAGGGUGGGAUGAGAGGGAGGGAGACAGAAAGAAAGGGCAGGAGAGAGGGAGAGAGAGAAGGAAAGUGAGAGAGAGAGAGAGAGAAAGAAAAAAGAGAGAGAGAAAGAAAGAGAAAAAAGAGAGAAGAGAGAGAGAGAUUGAGAACAGAGAGCCAAACUUAUCCUUUUGGAAACCACUUCUGAAAUAACAGCAUUAAUCUAUUCAUGAGGGCAGGGCCCCCACAGUCUAAUUAUCUCUUAAAGUUCCCACCUUUCAAUACUGUUACAAAGGAAAUUAAAAUUUAACAUAAGUUUGAGAGGGUACAAACAUUCAAACCAUAGAACCCUACAAAAAUCUCACAGACCUAGACUUAUUUCUUGCUGUUCUGCCUUCUGUUCUCAAGGUCACAAGAGGGCUGAUAGAGCUGUAACUAUUCACUUCACGGUGGAAGAAACAAUAAGGAAAGAAGAUAUGAUCCUCCUUUCUAAAGUGCCUUCUGGAGGUACUUUCUAUUUUCCUCCCAUUACCCUGAGCCUCAUCAUAUGGCCAAACCAGAGAGGCCGGGAAAUGUAAUUUCACAGCUGAACACAGUUAAGUUUCCAUUAUAAAGAAAGAGAACGAGAAAGGAUAUUAGAGGCAAGAAGCUGUUCCUGUCACAGUUAGCAUUAAAACUAAAGUUAGAGAAGAAAAUUUUCUCUUUCAUUUAAUGUUCUAUAAAGCAACAUUUAUUGAUGAACUCACUGUCCUAGACACUAAGGAUUCAAAAACCGAAAUGACACAGUUCUUGUCUUCAGAAUAUCACAGUCUAAUGGAGAAAAUACGUGUUCAUGUCCAUAGAUGAUUACAUACUAGAUGUACCCCUAGAUUUUUAUGAGAACAAGUAAGAUAAACUCCCCACUCAGACAAGGGUGAGGAAAAGGAAGAAGGCUUUAUGGAAGUCACAGAAGAAAAAUACGGAAAGAAAGUAGACUUUGGUGACAAUGUAUUGGGCAGAGGUCAAAUAAAGAUAGAAAAUACGUCCAUUGGGUUUAAUAACAACAGAGGCCUUUAGUGAGCUUGGGGAACACUGUUUCAGGGGAGUGCAGGAAAUCAAAUCCAGUGGGGCAAAAUGUGACUAUUAAUGAUAAAGUUGAGAGGGAAAAUACAGAAAAGUCUUUAAGAAAUGUAGUUAUAAAGAGGAAAAGAGAAGGAAAAUGGCAGCUAACAAGGUCUAGGCUAGGGAAUGGUUUUUUUAAGGAUAAGAAACAUAUGAGGAUACUUCAAUACCACCGAGAAUGUACAAAAAGAGGGACAGAGACAGAUAUACAAAUAAAGAGAGGAAAGAGAGCAGGUGAGCUUAUCCUCUGAAAUGGCAGAAAUCAAAGUAAAAUCUAAUGCCAAGGCAAGUGAUAUCUAAGACAAUGAUCAUAAAACUGAGACGUAUCUGAAGAUAAUCUCUAUGUUUUCUGUGAAGUAGAAGUCCCAGUUCUGACAUAGCAGUAGAGUCAGGGAGAAGAGUGAUACAUGCAAAAGAGUGAUAUGCUUUACAUUAGCCAUUACUAGCAAUAAGAAAGACAGGGAUGGGUGAAGAAAAGAAAGAAGAGUAGGAAGUAGGAAAGGGCAUGCAUAUUAUGAAAAUCUUUUCUCUCACCUCUGUCCCCAGUCCCCACCACAGAGGCAAUUACUGUCACUAAUUUAUUGUGUAUUUUUCCAGAGGUAUUCUAUUCCAAUACAAGCAAAUAUCUAUAUUUAUCCCUUUUUACAUUUUUACAUAUGGUGCAUACCAUACACAUUUACCUUGUUUUGGAUAAUUUAAAUAUACAUAGGUAUACUGCUACUCUCCCAAUCCCUGAGAUACCAUCAUUAACUCCUCCCUAUCUACAAACAAGAUGAUCAUGUCAGAGAUGUUAACUGUCUUGCUCAAGAUUCUUAGCUGACAAAUAAGUAGUGAAGCAGGAAAAACAGAUUCCACCAUUAUAUCCAUAUAAUAGAUCUGUAUUACAUUUGGAACUGUUCUCUCAACCAGAAAUUAAAUCUAAGAGAAAAAUACACUUGGAAAUUUAACCUCAGAGUGAGUGACUUGAAUGCUCCAACUAUGCUGUCAUCAUCAUGAAAUAUUCUACUGCUGUGUUCUAUUACUGUUUUGAAACUGUGUCAAAGACCAAUUGAUAGAUAGUCCAGUCAGAAGAUCUCAGCUGUGUAUGGAUAUCAAGAGGCACUUAGCUCUAGGAAGGUAGCCUUCUUAUGCCUCUUACAGAAUUUCUCUCUCCAAUUUAGUUGGAGACACAGUGGCCCUGCCUGCCAAUUUUAGAUCACUCUCCCGCUACAAUUUACAUAAUUUACAUUUUAACCUUACUUAUCUACCGAAACAGGCCAAUGACCCUCCUCAAACAGCUGUGCGUUCUAUUUCCUGAGUUUCUGCACUUGUUUCUUUCACUUGAAACUGCCCCUAACACUGCCUCACUUGGACAGCUUCUUUAUCUUUCCAAACAUAGAUUAAUUCAUUUGCUAAUUCAAUAAGUACAUACUAAGUGCUGGCUACCAUCCAGAAAGUUUCAGCCCAGAAGUUUUGAUGGGACACAGGAUAGGCAAGGGAUCUGUCCUCAGGAACUUGUACUCUAGUGUAGAAAGCAGAUAAAAACAAAUAGAUGUAUUAACUAGAGAUUGUUUGGGGUUCUAUGAAAAAAAUAAACAAGGUGUUGGAAUGGGACAUUACAAGAGUGACUCAUUUUAGAUUGUUAGAGAGAUUAAGUUGAGACCUCAAGGGUGAGAAGGAGCCAGCUCUGUGGAAAGCAGGGGAAGGAUGUUUCAGGCAGAGGAAAAGCAAGUACUAUGGCCUUGAAGUGAUAAAGUGGCUUAACCUUUCUAAGAACUGACAAAAGGCCAUUGUUGCUGGUGCAUAAAUGAGGAAGGGGACAGGAGAGAACAUAAAGGGAGGAGGUUAGAGAGGUGGGGCAGACCCAGACCAUGGAGGGCUUUGUCAGUCAAGGUAACCGAACUCAACUCUAAGGAUAAUGGGGAAGGAUUAAAAGGUUUUAUGCAAGGAAGAAAAGAGAUGACAACAUCUGGUUUUGUUGUUAAACAACUAAUUUGGCUACUUUGUAAAUAAUGCAUCAGAAGAGACCGUGUGAAAGUGGGGAAUCUGCUGAGGUGCGUGUGAUAGUCUGCAUGACAGACGAUGGUGGCAUGAACUAAGGUAGUGGCUGUGGAGAUGAAGUGGGAUUAACAGGACUUGCUAGUUGAUGUGGCUGGUGUCAAGGAUGACCCUAAGUUUCCAUCCUUGGUAACUGGGUGGAUGGCAGCACUGUAGCUCGCCUACACAGAUCUGCUUCCUUCUUCUAGGCAAGUGCAAGCUGUCCUGCUCCAGGGCAUAUAGUCCAUUAAGAAAUGUGCAGGUUGGAGUUCAGACCCCCCACCCCUCUGCAGGACACUUUUCUGCAACCUCACUUGGUGAGCUUGGUGUUAUGCUCCUGGGACAGCCACUGCAAUGAGGGAAACUGGGGCUGGUGCAGAUUUGGUAGCGGGGUGAGAGUAGAGAGUCCCAUAUUGGCCACAUAAAAUUUGAGUUGCCAAGAGGAUAAGCCAAUAGGUGAUACCAAAUAAGAAUUUGGAUAUGCCCAUUGA